GAUGAAGAACGCAGCGAAAUGCGAUAAGUAAUGUGAAUUGCAGAAUUCAGUGAAUCAUCGAAUCUUUGAACGCACAUUGCGCCCGCCAGUAUUCUGGCGGGCAUGCCUGUUCGAGCGUCAUUACAACCCUCAGGCCCCCGGGCCUGGCGUUGGGGAUCGGCGGAGCCCCCCGUGGGCACACGCCGUCCCCCAAAUACAGUGGCGGUCCCGCCGCAGCUUCCAUCGCGUAGUAGCUAACACCUCGCGACUGGAGAGCGGCGCGGCCACGCCGUAAAACACCCAACUCUUCUGAAGUUGACCUCGAAUCAGGUAGGAAUACCCACUGAACUUAAGCAUAUCAAUAAGCGGAGGA
rnacentral:misc_RNA from 1 species